rnacentral:rRNA from 1 species
UACGGAGGGUGCAAGCGUUGCUCGGAAUUAUUGGGCGUAAAGGGUAGGUAGGUGGUCUCAUUUGUCUGGGGUGAAAGCCUUGGGCUUAACUCAAGAAGUGCCCCAGAAACGGUGAGACUGGAGUCCUGGAGAGGGUCGUGGAAUUCCCGGUGUAGCGGUGAAAUGCGUAGAGAUGGGGGAGAACACUCGUGGCGAAGGCGGCCAGCUAGACCAGUUCUGACGCUGAGACGCGAAAGCGUGGGGAGCAAACAGG